CUAAGACUCAACUUGCGUUCUGAUUUAACCGACUUAGGCUUGGAAGCCCAUGAGCUGAACGCUCCAUGACCCUUUCGUCGCACGGCUUCUCGGGCCGAGAGUGAUUCUACCCUCAGCCCAAACUAUUAUUUUGAGCCCAAACAAGACCACAAAAAAAAAAAAACAAAAAAAAAGAAAUAGCGGACAAGGAUUCACUAUUAUGAUUGGGAUUACAAGCUACACUUACCCAUUGCAUGAUAUCAUUUGAUUGCUCAUUGGAAUCAAAAAGAUGGAUUAAAAGUUAAGACAAAUUGUGAGAAGUGUCAUAAUUUUUUCCAUUUACUAACAAAAUGCAAAUCUAAAACUGCUUCAUCAACCAACGCGAGUCACAUCAUAUUCGGUGCCACAAACUGCUCUAUUUUGCAGCAACAAGCAUAAUUAUGAAACCUUUUCUUUUCUCGUACAACAAAUGGUUUGCAAUGCACAUGUACAAAACUAAAAUUAGAAUAGCAAUAGCAACUAGUAUUACGAUUUGUUAGCAUCUCUCCCUCUACUUAACUUGAAUUUUCUACUUCUUUAAAUUGAAUAUCUACGAAAAUUCAAUACACAUGGAGGGAGAGAUUUUCGUGUACUUAAACUACGAGUUGGGACUAUCAUAAUACAAAUAAAAAAAAAACACUGAAAAAAUAUAUUUUCAUUCUACUUAUAUUAUAACACGUAAAAAGUGUAUAACAACCACUUCUCCAGCUAUUAAAAACAAUUAAAAAAAAAGAACAAAAAAAAACACCAAAGCAGCAGGCGCGUGGAUGUAGCGACCGUAGAAAGCACCGACCGGCAUGCUAAUUGCCAAAGCUCUUUGUAAUGUAACAGUUGGUGCUGAUUAGCCAGGUAAAAGGAAGACAUUCGCAAAUAUUAAUUAUCCGGAUAAUACUUUAAAUUAAAUUUACAAACUAAAUGAUAAUCAUUAAUAAAAAAUAAAUA
rnacentral:lncRNA from 1 species